rnacentral:other from 1 species
ACACCCCUGCGCGGUGCGAUUUGUUGCAGCCUGUUAUAGAAUCCUACUAAUCAAAUCUUGGGAGCCCGCGUCGGGCGCCGGACCGCAGACCUCCCGCUUAAGCGGACGAAGGGAGCGCGAACGCACCCGCAGGGCACCCACCUGCCAUACCGGUAGGUUUUGAUUGGCUGCAGACGGCCACGCGGGGUUUUU